GUGUUAGCCGCCGCGGUAAUACGUAGGUGGCAAGCGUUGUCCGGAAUUACUGGGCGUAAAGGGUGCGCAGGCGGACAUUUAAGUGAGAUGUGAAAGACCCGGGCUUAACUUGGGCAGUGCAUUUCAAACUGGAUGUCUGGAGUGCAGGAGAGGAGAACGGAAUUCCUAGUGUAGCGGUGAAAUGCGUAGGGAUUAGGCAGAACACCAGUGGCGAAGGCGGUUCUCUGGACUGUAACUGAAGCUGAGGCACGAAAGCGUGGGUAGCAAACAGGAGUAGAUACCCUGGUAG
rnacentral:rRNA from 1 species